GGGCUCAGCCAAGACAGCAGGCGACAGCCAGGGUCUUCAGGGCAAAAGUGACCUGGCCUUGUCACCUCUCACCCUCGGGGAUCAGUGUUUUCUCUCCAGGAUGGGCUCUGCGGGCACAGAACACCUGGGUUCAAAUCCCCAGCCAGGUGCCCUGGGCAAGAGUCCUCGCCUCUCUGAGCCUGGGGUUCCUCAUCUAAAACGUGGGGCGCAGUGGACAGUCUGCAUCCGCUAGCUAUUGCCAUAACAUCGAUGCUUGCGCUUAAAUCACAAAAACUCAUCGGCAUAAAAAAACCCAUUCUUCUCAUGCAUCUUUGGGGUUCCUCUGAUCUCACCCAGGCUCCACAGAUCUCCUCCCAUCCUCCUCCCCGGGGGGGCUAGCCCAGGCAUGUCCACUGGCAUGUGGUGAUUAAAACAGAUCUCACAGCCAAGCCGGGGAUGCAAAAUUACGCUUUGCCCACAGUGGGAGAACACCAUGAGGUUAUCUCGCAAAGGCACGGACAAAGGGAAGAGUGGGGAAUUGGGGCCGUGGACACAGUCUAGCACAGGUACCAACCUUGCAACUUUCCGCGGUAAGCGUCCCCCAUUCUCGGUCCCCGUGGGCUAGGGGAAGCCAAUGCCAUCCCCGGCGCCAGCUCUGCCUUUCCGAGGUCCUGAGCCUCAGGCUUUCUCUGUUACAGAGAUUGGCAAGUGAUGGAAGAAAGCCGCUGGGGUGCAGCUGGGCGUCGGGGGGAAAAAGCCCCGUAGCAAGCAGACCCUAGGGGGCCCGCCCAGGCAAGAGGGAUUCCUGGCUGGGGACACUCUUUCUCCAAGUGUCCCUCUGCUUUAGGACACUGCUGCUUCCCGCCGGCUGAAGCAGGAGACACGUGACCCUAUUCUGGCCAAUGAUACAAGAGGGGAGGUCAUUCGGGGAAAGGUUUCCUUCCUUAUAAAGAGAGAAAAAAGAACCACCAUCAUCAUUCUCUUCACUCCAACAUUAGUCUCCCCAACUAAUCCUACUCUUUCCACCAAUAUUACUUUCCACCAAUAUUACUCUCGCCCGCCAUUAUUCUUCCCACCUGCAUUACUCUCCCUCCACCAACAUUACUCUCCCCAACCAAUCUUACCCUUUCCACCAAUAUCACUCUCCCCCCAAUAUUACCUUCCACCAAUAUUACUCUUCCCACACCAUUACUCUCCCCCCACCAUUACUCUCGUCUGCCAUUAUUCUUCCCACCUGCAUUACUCUCCCUCCACCAACAUUACUCUCCCCAACCAAUCCUACUCUUUCCACCAAUUAUCACUCUCCCCCCAAUAUUACUUUCCACCAAUAUUACUCUUCCUACACCAUUACUCUUCCCCCACCAACAUUACUCUCAUCCGCCAUUAUUCUUCCCACCUGCAUUACUCUCCCUCCACCAACAUUACUCUCCCCAACCA
rnacentral:lncRNA from 1 species